rnacentral:rRNA from 1 species
GGGGGCUAGCGUUGCUCGGAAUCACUGGGCGUAAAGCGCACGUAGGCGGCUUCUUAAGUCAGGGGUGAAAUCCUGGAGCUCAACUCCAGAACUGCCUUUGAUACUGGGAAGCUUCGAGUCCGGAAGAGGUGAGUGGAACUGCGAGUGUAGAGGUGAAAUUCGUAGAUAUUCGCAAGAACACCAGUGGCGAAGGCGGCUCACUGGUCCGGUACUGACGCUGAGGUGCGAAAGCGUGGGGAGCAAACAGG